rnacentral:rRNA from 1 species
AUUGAACGCUGGCGGCAGGCCUAACACAUGCAAGUCGAGCGGAGCGGCGGACGGGUGAGUAAUGCCUAGGAAUCGGCCUGGUAGUGGGGGAGAACGUCCGGCAACGGGCGCUAAUACCGCAUACUAUCAGCAGAGCCUAGGUCGGAUUAGCUAGUUGGUGGGGUAAAGGCAGAGCAAGGCGAAGAUCCGUAACUGGUCUGAGAGGAUGAUCAGUCACACUGGAACUGAGACACGGUCCAGACUCCUACGGGAGGCAGCAGUGGGGAAUAUUGGACAAUGGGCGCAAGCCUGAUCCAGCCAUGCCGCGUGUGUGAAGAAGGUCUUCGGAUUGUAAAGCACUUUAAGUUGGGAGGCGUUACCAACAGAAUAAGCACCGGCUAACUUCGUGCCAGCAGCCGCGGUAAUAC